rnacentral:tRNA from 1 species
GCCGCGGUGGUGAAAUUGGUAGACACGUACGUUUCAGGGGCGUAUGAGGGUAACCUCAUGAGAGUUCAAGUCUCUCCCGCGGCA